rnacentral:lncRNA from 1 species
GGAGGGAUACAUAUACGGAGGGGGAUCUUACUCUUCCCAUUCCUCAGACCAGCAGGAAAAGAGGGGAGACGUCAGUCUUUUUCCUGUGGUUCCCUCUCAUUUGUCCCAGUUACUAACUACGGAAAUAGCAUCCUCUGCUGGUGCUAAGUGUGAUUAGGAAGAAGCCUGGGGAGAGGUGAGUCUGGAAUUUUGGUCACAAGAGGGAAGGACUUGGAGAGGAGAAUUAGUUUUCUAGGCUCAUUGGCAUUUAGUUUCCCUAGGAAAGGGGUCAAAACUUCAAGACACUGGUGGUGGUGGGAGAUCAGGAAAAUAACUUGGCCUAGCUCAAACAAUAUUGGAUAAUCCCCUCCUUGGGGGAGAGGGAUUAGAGUGUGCUCCUACUGGCCCCUUGGAGCCUCCCCUAGCUUACACAGUUAACUUGAUUUUAAAAUCCAAGGCCAGGAGAGAAGAAUCCAAAAAGCAAUAUUUUUCAUCACAUGCCAAAAACGGGGGAUAGAGAGAAGGAGUGGCAGGCCUAGGCCCCUCCGAUUGUCCCUUGGGGGUUACCCCUCAGCCCACCUCACUAUGGUGCUGGGUAGAGGGGAUACCUGGGUUCUAACCUCUAAAUAGGGGAGAUCCCAGCCUCCACAAAGAGGCCCUUUUAUUUUUUAUUCUGAUUAGCCAUUUUAAACCAACGA